rnacentral:pre_miRNA from 1 species
UUCACUCAAAUCUAUAUGGAGUUGGAACGUUUGCUUACAUAUGGCGAAAGGGGCGCUGUUCCAACUGCAUACACAUUUGAGUUA